rnacentral:rRNA from 1 species
GGGGAAUAUUGGACAAUGGGCGAAAGCCUGAUCCAGCCAUGCCGCGUGAGUGAAGAAGGCCUUCGGGUUGUAAAGCUCUUUCGGACGGAAAGAAAACGGAUGGGUUAAUACCCUGUUCGGAUGACGGUACCGUCAUAAGAAGCACCGGCUAACUACGUGCCAGCAGCCGCGGUAAUACGUAGGGUGCGAGCGUUAAUCGGAAUUACUGGGCGUAAAGCGUGCGCAGGCGGUUGAUUAAGACAGGCGUGAAAUCCCCGGGCUUAACCUGGGAACUGCGCUUGUGACUGGUCGGCUAGAGUACGGCAGAGGGGGGUGGAAUUCCACGUGUAGCAGUGAAAUGCGUAGAUAUAGGAAGGAACACCAGUGGCGAAGGCGACCACCUGGACUGAUACUGACACUGAGGUGCGAAAGCGUGGGGAGCAAACA